rnacentral:rRNA from 1 species
ACGUAGGGGGCGAGCGUUGUCCGGAUUUAUUGGGCGUAAAGAGCUCGUAGGCGGUUUGGCAAGUCGGGUGUGAAAACUCCGGGCUCAACUCGGAGACGCCACUCGAUACUGCCAUGACUCGAGUCCGGUAGGGGAGUGCGGAAUUCCUGGUGUAGUGGUGAAAUGCGUAGAUAUCGGGAGGAACACCAGUGGCGAAGGCGACUACCUGGCCCACUCUUGACGCUGAGGCGCGAAAGCUAGGGGAGCAAACGGGA